rnacentral:lncRNA from 1 species
AACGAUGAUCCGGGGUUGAAUCAUAUCUCGAUCAUGGAUUGGGAGAUCUCCGUCUGGCCGAUUGACAGCUCUGAUGAAUGUGUCUCCUCUCCGAGCUCUAAGGAGGCACAUGUGGCUCUGGCUGUGGUGGCUGCUGAGGAGUCAAGUGCGAAACUAGAUUUGGUGGGGGCACCACCAUGGGAGCUGCUGAUGAUGCCAUUGAGAGGACCAUCAGUUGCACCACUGAAGGAGGUGUAGGGGUAGCCUGAACAGCCUACAGCACCAUUGGGAGAGGCACCAGAAUAGUUUGGACUGUCUGAAUGGU